GUUGGGUCAUUGCUGGUCACUGCGGUUGUAGUCCGUGGUGUUUCUGAUGCCUCUCCACAUGUCGCGUGGGUUGUUGCUGCUGAAGUGGUCCUUGAUGCGCUGCUUGUAUCUUUGCUUGGCCUUCUGGAAGCCUUAUUUUGCUUCUAGUCCUGCUGUGUGUAUGUAUUCAGGAAACAUGGCCUAAACCAAAUCUUGAUUUUCUAAUUAAAGGGUAUGAGAGCAUAAAAAAUGACAGAGAGGGUGGCUCGGGAAGAGGGUGUAUAACAUUUUUUAAACAGGGGAUUAACUCUAGCAUUUUACCUAAAGAAAGAGAAUUAGAAUAUAUUGUCAAUGAAAUCUGGGCAAAAAAUGUCAUUUCCAAAUUGUAAAUCUUUAUAAUCAAUGCAAAAACCUUUCCACGGAUGUGUUUGACAAACUUCUGAAGUUCGUGGAGGGAAAAGUAAUUUUUGUGGAGACUUCAAUGGACAUGGUACUUUAUGGAGUAAUCACAAUGAUAAAAAUAGGGAAGUAAAAUUAAAUAAGUAAUGGAAAUAAAAAUUGGCUUGUUUAACUGAUGGUAGUGGAACUAUAUCAACAUUAGGAAUGUUGCAAUGUCAGCAAUGGACCUAACAUUAGUUUCAGAUUCACUAGCAGGUGUAUGUUCUUGGAACGUAAUCAAAGAUACAACUACAGGAAGUGACCACUUCCCUAUAUGGACCAAAAUUGAGUUAAAUGUAGAAAUAAAUAAUGAUAAUCUGUUUCAGAAAUGGUGUUUUAGGUCAGCCGACUUUUAGAAGGAUUAGUGAUGAUAAAUUGGAAAAAGUAGAUAUAAAUAAUAAUGUGGAUGAAUUUGUAUAUAUGUUAUGCUAUUGUCACAUGGACGACCUUUAGCGGUUGGGUUUUCGUUCAGUGAGACAGAGUCUUGAACCAGAGUCAGGUGGAGAACAGCAGCAGUUUAUUUUCCACUCAGCAUCCACACAACACUGUCUUUCACAGCUGACACUGCAGUCUUAAAUAGUCCCAGCUGUGACGGACCAAACCAUAUUAAAUUCACAGGGGAAUCUCUUAAUCAAUCUCCACCUAUUUACAUAAAAUACAUUUUAUUAAAUACAAUACUUCUAUUUACUUUUUAUAAAUAUUUUUCCAUUUUAUCAUUACACCUUAAAUAAACACCACAAAAACCCCCAACAAUCCCCCCCCUAGUCUCCUCAAUGGCCUCUCCCAAAGCUAUAUAUGGCGUCUGGACCCCCGGGGUAGAAUUUGUCCAAACACCCUGGAGAGGACACAGAAAAGACAGGCACCAGCAACCAACCUCACUCAUCAAUGAGGAGCAGCUGUGCAGAGCCCAAAACAAAGGCCACAUACCAAUCGCCAAAAUGCUCAAUAAAUAUAAUUAAAACUU